GACGAACGCUGGCGGCGUGCUUAACACAUGCAAGUCGAACGGAAAGGCCCUGCUUUUGUGGGGUGCUCGAGUGGCGAACGGGUGAGUAACACGUGAGUAACCUGCCCUUGACUUUGGGAUAACUUCAGGAAACUGGGGCUAAUACCGGAUAGGAGCUCCUGCUGCAUGGUGGGGGUUGGAAAGUUUCGGCGGUUGGGGAUGGACUCGCGGCUUAUCAGCUUGUUGGUGGGGUAGUGGCUUACCAGGGCUUUGACGGGUAGCCGGCCUGAGAGGGUGACCGGCCACAUUGGGACUGAGAUACGGCCCAGACUCCUACGGGAGGCAGCAGUGGGGAAUAUUGCACAAUGGGCGGAAGCCUGAUGCAGCAACGCCGCGUGCGGGAUGACGGCCUUCGGGUGGUAAACCGCUUUCGCCUGUGACGAAGCGUGAGUGACGGUAAUGGGUAAAGAAGCACCGGCGAACUACGU
rnacentral:rRNA from 1 species